UACCUGUAACUCAUGCGAGGGACUGCAGGGUGCUGGAACUCGAUGGCUCACGCCUUACGCUUGCGCCCGCCACGCUGAGGCUGUGCCCCACUCAAGGCGACUGUGUCCACUGGUCCCGGCGGGUAGCUGCCGGGGUCUUGGGGCCGAAGGAACAGGGUACGGGGCCAGGCCGGCAACGGAGCAGCCAAAACCUGUCGCAGCCGCCAGUGAGGGGAACACACGGCU
rnacentral:SRP_RNA from 16 species